UGGGGAAUUGUUCGCAAUGGGCGAAAGCCUGACCCAGCAACGCCGCGUGAAGGAUGAAGUAUUUCGGUAUGUAAACUUCGUAAGAAUAGGAAGAAUAAAUGACGGUACUAUUUGUAAGGUCCGGCUAACUACGUGCCAGCAGCCGCGGUAAUACGUAGGGACCAAGCGUUGUUCGGAUUUACUGGGCGUAAAGGGCGCGUAGGCGGUGUGUCAAGUCAGUUGUGAAAUCUCCGAGCUUAACUCGGAACGGUCAACUGAUACUGUCACACUAGAGUACAGAAGGGGCAAUCGGAAUUCUUGGUGUAGCGGUGAAAUGCGUAGAUAUCAAGAGGAACACCUGAGGCGAAGGCGGGUUGCUGGGCUGAUACUGACGCUGAGGCGCGAAAGCUAGGGUAGCAAACGGGAUUAGAUACCCCUGUAUUCCCUGAGCGGGCUGGCAAGGCGCAU
rnacentral:rRNA from 1 species